AUUGAACGCUGGCGGCAGGCCUAACACAUGCAAGUCGAACGAGUGGCGGACGGGUGAGUAAGGUCUGGGAAACUGCCUGAUGGAGGGGGAUAACGACUGGAAACGGUAGCCAAUACCGCAUACCAUCGGAUGUGCCUAGAUGGGAUUAGCUAGUGGGUGGGGUAACGGCGCACCUAGGCGACGAUCCCUAGCUGGUCUGAGAGGAUGACCAGCCACACUGGACCUGCGACACGGUCCAGACUCCUACGGGAGGCAGCAGGGGGGAAGAUUGCACAAUGGGCGCAAGCCUGAUGCGGCCAUGCCGCGUGUAUGAAGAAGGCCUUCGGGUUGUAAAGUACGUUCAGCGGGGAGGCGUUACCCGCAGAAGAAGCACCGGCUAACUCCGUGCCAGCAGCCGCGGUAAUUC
rnacentral:rRNA from 1 species